rnacentral:sRNA from 1 species
CUUUAGCCCUGAUGGAAGCGGCAUCCCGCGCUUUUUCUGCGCGGAAUAUAGCGGACAGCAGGAACGAUG